GACGAACGCUGGCGGCGUGCUUAACACAUGCAAGUCGAACGGAAAGGCCCCGUUGGGGGUGCUCGCGCGGCGGACGAGUGAGUAACACGUGAGUAAGCUGCCCUUGCCUUCGGGAUAACUUCAGGAAACUGGGGCUGAUACAGGACAGGAAUCCUUGCUGCAUGGUGGGGGGUGGAAAGCUUGGGCGGUUUGGGAAGGACGCGCGGCUUACUUGCUUGUUGGUGGGGUAGUGGCUUACCCAGGCUUUGACGGGUAGGCGGCCCGGGGGGGCGACCGGCCACAUUGGGACUGGAGAACGGCCCAGACUCCUUCGGGGGGCAGCAGUGGGGAAUAUUGGCCAAGUGGCGGAAGCCUGAUGCAGCCACGCCGCGUGCGGGAUGACGGCCUUCGGGUUGUAAACCGCUUUCCGCAGGGGCGAAGCUUGUGGUGACGGUACCUGCAGAAGAAGCACCGGCUAACUACGUG
rnacentral:rRNA from 1 species